AUUGAACGCUGGCGGCAGGCUUAACACAUGCAAGUCGAGCGGAGAGAGGUAGCUUGCUACUGAUCUUAGCGGCGGACGGGUGAGUAAUGCUUAGGAAUCUGCCUAUUAGUGGGGGACAACAUUUCGAAAGGAAUGCUAAUACCGCAUACGUCCUACGGGAGAAAGCAGGGGAUCUUCGGACCUUGCGCUAAUAGAUGAGCCUAAGUCGGAUUAGCUAGUUGGUGGGGUAAAGGCCUACCAAGGCGACGAUCUGUAGCGGGUCUGAGAGGAUGAUCGGCCACACUGGGACGGAGCCGCGGCCCAGACUCCUACGGGAGGCAGCAGUGGGGAAUAUUGGACAAUGGGCGGAAGCCUGAUCCAGCCAUGCCGCGUGUGUGAAGAAGGCCUUAUGGUUGUAAAGCACUUUAAGCGAGGAGGAGGCUACUUUAGUUAAUACCUAGAGAUAGUGGACGUUACUCGCAGAAUAAGCACCGGCUAACUCUGUGCCAGCAGCCGCCGUAA
rnacentral:rRNA from 1 species